rnacentral:sRNA from 1 species
AUGGAGCUCCGGGCGCUGCUCUGCUGGGCUUCGUUGGCUGCAGCUUUGGAAGAGACCCUGCUGAACACAAAAUUGGAAACUGCGGAUCUGAAGUGGGUGACGUUCCCUCAGGUGGACGGGCAGUGGGAGGAACUGAGCGGCCUGGAUGAGGAACAGCACAGCGUGCGCACCUACGAGGUGUGUGACGUGCAGCGCGCCCCGGGCCAGGCCCACUGGCUUCGCACGGGUUGGGUCCCGCGGCGGGGCGCCGUCCACGUGUACGCCACGCUGCGCUUCACCAUGCUCGAGUGCCUGUCCCUGCCUCGGGCUGGGCGCUCCUGCAAGGAGACCUUCACCGUCUUCUACUAUGAGAGCGAUGCGGACACGGCCACGGCCCUCACACCAGCUUGGAUGGAGAACCCCUACAUCAAGGUGGACACGGUGGCCGCAGAGCAUCUCACCCGGAAGCGCCCUGGGGCUGAGGCCACGGGGAAGGUGAAUGUCAAGACGCUGCGUCUGGGACCACUCAGCAAGGCCGGCUUCUACCUGGCCUUCCAGGACCAGGGCGCCUGCAUGGCCCUGCUGUCCCUGCACCUCUUCUACAAAAAGUGCGCCCAGCUGACUGUGAACCUGACCCGCUUCCCGGAGACCGUGCCUCGGGAGCUGGUCGUGCCCGUGGCCGGUAGCUGCGUGGUGGAUGCCAUCCCCGCCCCUGGCCCCAGCCCCAGCCUCUACUGCCGUGAGGAUGGCCAGUGGGCCGAACAGCCGGUCACAGGCUGCAGCUGUGCUCCGGGGUUCGAGGCAGCCGAGGGGAACACCAAGUGCCGAGGGCGCCGAGGGUCCCAGCAGCGUGCGGUUCCUGAAGACGUCAGAAAACCGGGCAGAGCUGCGGGGGCUGAAGCGAGGAGCCAGCUACCUGGUGCAGGUACGGGCGCGCUCUGA